rnacentral:rRNA from 1 species
GACGAACGCUGGCGGCGUGCUUAACACAUGCAAGUCGAACGGAAAGGCCCUGCUUUUGUGGGGUGCUCGAGUGGCGAACGGGUGAGUAACACGUGAGUAACCUGCCCUUGACUUUGGGAUAACUUCAGGAAACUGGGGCUAAUACCGGAUAGGAGCUCCUGCUGCAUGGUGGGGGUUGGAAAGUUUCGGCGGUUGGGGAUGGACUCACGGCUUAUCAGCUUGUUGGUGGGGUAGUGGCUUACCAAGGCUUUGACGGGUAGCCGGCCUGAGAGGGUGACCGGCCACAUUGGGACUGAGAUACGGCCCAGACUCCUACGGGAGGCAGCAGUGGGGAAUAUUGCACAAUGGGCGGAAGCCUGAUGCAGCAACGCCGCGUGCGGGAUGACGGCCUUCGGGUUGUAAACCGCUUUCGCCUGUGCCGAAGCGUGAGUGACGGUAAUGGGUAAAGAAGCACCGGCUAACUACGUG